AUAAACACCGAGAAAAAGAGAGUACAUGCAAAGGAAUGGCAAAGAGAAUCCCGGUAGCUGAGAAGGGAUGCAAGAGAGUGUGUGGAAGAUGGCUUUGGAGUGGCAUUAUCGAACCGGUAGGCUAGAUAGUGACAGGGUCGCCUGUUAUAGCGAAGAGUAUGAAAGUACUUACUGAGGUCUGUGUUGUGAGAUGCAGAUGAAAAGAAGUGGUAUCACGGACAAUUAUCGCCCGUCUUCUAU
rnacentral:ncRNA from 1 species